rnacentral:rRNA from 1 species
UGGGGAAUAUUGGACAAUGGGCGCAAGCCUGAUCCAGCAAUGCCGCGUGUGUGAAGAAGGCCUUCGGGUUGUAAAGCACUUUUAUCAGGAACGAAAUACCACGGGUUAAUAACCUAUGGGGCUGACGGUACCUGAGGAAUAAGCACCGGCUAACUUCGUGCCAGCAGCCGCGGUAAUACGAAGGGUGCAAGCGUUAAUCGGAAUUACUGGGCGUAAAGGGUGCGUAGGCGGUUGUUUAAGUCUGUCGUGAAAUCCCCGGGCUCAACCUGGGAAUGGCGAUGGAUACUGGACAGCUAGAGUGUGUCAGAGGAUGGUGGAAUUCCCGGUGUAGCGGUGAAAUGCGUAGAGAUCGGGAGGAACAUCAGUGGCGAAGGCGGCCAUCUGGGACAACACUGACGCUGAAGCACGAAAGCGUGGGGAGCAAACA